rnacentral:rRNA from 1 species
GACGAACGCUGGCGGCGUGCCUAAUACAUGCAAGUCGAACGCAGUGGGGUCGGGUGAGUAACACGUGGGUAACCUCCCAUCAGAGGGGAUAACACUUGGAAACAGGUUCUAAACCUAUACUGAUGGAUGUACCUGCGGUGCAGUGUUUAGAUGGGUAGGUAACGGCUCACCAAGGCCACGAUGCAUAGCCGAACUGAGAGGGUGAUCGGCAACACGGGGACUGAGACACGGCCCAGACUCCUACGGGAGGCAGCAGUAGGGAAUCUUCGGCAAUGGACGAAAGUCUGAACGAGCAAAGCCGCGUGAGUGAAGAAGGUUUUCGGAGCGUAAAACACUGUUGUUAGAGAAGCGGUAUCUAACCAGAAAGCCACGGCUAACUACGUGCCAGCAGCCGCGGUAAUUC